rnacentral:misc_RNA from 1 species
AACUAUUACCGUAAUUUCCGGAAGUUUACGACGAACCCGAGAUGGAUCGUAAUGUUAACAAUUUCCAAAGUUUCAUUGCAUCACAAUUCCUUCCGCAACACCCUCAAGCCGCACACCUUCCGGCCGCGCACCAAUAUGCACCCGUUCAAUCCAGUCCGAUUGAUUUGACGCGUCCCAUUCCAGCUCCUCAAAUUCCUCCCUACAGAACUAGCGUAACUCCAGAGCCUAGACGUUUAGAUUAUUAUACGCCGAUAGAGAAUCGAGUUCCAUCUGCUCCUUUGCCAGCUUAUGGUGCUCAUGCUCGAAUUCCUAUAAUCCACAUAACUCCGGAAAAUCACCAUUUUGGACGGACAGUAGAUCCUAAGGUCAAUUACUCACAAGCACAAAAAGAUGCUUUUGAUAGUGCCAAAGGUCAUGAGGCUCCCAGCAGUAACAAUUAUCAAAAUAAACCUUUACUGACGUCGCUAUUAAUGAAAAAAGAUGACUCAAAGUCGUCGUCGUCGUCAUCAAAGAGAACAGCAGCAGUUGUAAAUGAAAAGACCGAGAAAAGAGUAGAACCCGAGAAAAAAAAGACUAAAGAUAGUCAAAAAUCUCAUCAAGCAAAUAUUCCCCUUGAAGAGGAAAAGUACAAAUUUUACAAUAAACGUCAAAUGAUACUCAAUAACAUUCCCUCUCCUACCAUGUCAUCCCACUUGUAUAAUAAACAUCAGGAACAUGCGAUAAAUAGGGCAAGUGCUGGCUCUAUUACCGACGGAGAUGAAAUAUUCGAGGCUAUUCGUGUUGUUGUUCAAAAAUUAUUUGAUGAUAAAUUAAAUUCACUUGUUAAAGAAUUCCAAAAUUCAAUAAUCAACUUAGCUGUGGCCAAUAUGAAAAUAAAUCUAAAAGCUACCGAUGAUCAAAUUGAACAAUGGAUGAAUUCAUUUUGUAGGAAUUUGUUAGAGAAUUCAAAAAGAUUAUAUCCAGUAAAGGAUGACGAAAACCACACAAUUGCCGACGUAUCUGACAGCUCUACGUCAGAUAUAUCAGAGAAUAAAUCAGUUAGGGCAAGAAAGAAACAACUUUUUGAGAAGAGGAGUAGGAGAGUCUCUCCCUCUCCUUCUCCAAGCAUAGAGAAAAUUCCUAAGAAAAAGAAGAAAGUCGGCAGACCUUUACUUCACAAGUAAGUUAAUAUCUAUUUCUAAGAAAAAUCAUAUAUAACUCGUUGUAAGGAUUAAAUAUAAGCAAUCAUCUCGGUACAAGUACUAAAAAUGUAGUAUUUACAACUAAGGAGUAGUUCAAAGUAUUUGAUCUGUCUAGUCCCAAGUUGUAUAGUGCAUAUUUAGAGUCAUGUAUGAAUCGGAUCAGAGCCUUCUUAACAGUAGUAAUAACGGUAUUAAUUCUGAUAAUAUGCAAAAUAAACUAUCUCCGUUUAGGUUACACAAGAUGAAAGAAGUAAUCGUUAGAGAAGGACGCUUGGUAAGUACUUUAAUCAAUCUAAUAAUAAUUUUAGUUUUUUUUUUAUUUUCUCUUCUUUUCUUUAUUUAAAAAUAUCUUCAUUAAAUUCACAGUGGGAGCCGGAAAAUUUAACGACCGAAACACACUUCUUAAUGGGCGCAAAAGCUAAUAAAGCUCUAGGAUAUGGUGCAACAAGGGGCCGAAUGUACAUAAAACAUCCAGAUAUAUUUAAGGUUAAAUUCUUAAUUAUACAUCGUCUAUUUUGUAAAUGUUUUUCUCCUAUCAAUCUUCCUCUCUCUCGCUCUCGUUUUUCACCUUCUCUACUUAUAAUUUACAUAUUUAUUGUUAAAUAUUAAUUAUAUUCUAAAUAGUACUGCGCCGAUUCGGAUGAUAAAGUAUGGCUUCAUCAGCAAAAAUUAAUGCCCGCCACUGGCGGAAGGGCAUAUUUAGUUCUUCAGGAAGAUGUCGACAGAAUCGUCGAUAUGGAUGAAUACAAGUAAAAUUAUUUACAUACAUUCCACAUAUACAAUAUAUUUAUUACUGAUUAUUAAUUUUCUCUUUAUUUCCUCUAUUCCCUUCCCCAUCCUCAUCGACUCGUUAAUAGAGAUCUUGACAAAACUGAUAUAAGAUCAUUAGCUGCGUUUUCUGUGCCAGACUGGAUGAUUAGCAAGAUGAGAUUUUCAAUGGAAUCUGCAAAAAGUUCCAACAAACGAGGACGUUCCAAAGGAGUGUUUCAUGUGCCAAGUCCAGUUACUAGCAUUGAUGAAGAUUGUAGUAGUAUAGCGGAAGAUAUGGAGGAUGAUACGACUUUGCCGUUUUCAUCAAUUCGUACGGAAGAUCAAGAAAGUUAAUAAACUUUAGUGCCUAUUUGUGAUACCUUCAAACAUUUUACUUUUCUUCUGUCUAUUGUACAAAUUGACUCUUUCGAAAUCUGCAAACUCUUUUGUAAACCUGCAUUAUUUAGGAAUGUGUUUAUUAAUUAGUGAACCUCUUUACCAACCUUUUCAACGAAGUCUUGAGCUUUCUGUUUAUUAAUGGGAAAAUGGAAUGUUUUAAUUAAGAAUACAUAUUUUAAUUAUUUUUCGAAAUACAAACUUAAAUCAUUCUA